rnacentral:rRNA from 1 species
AACGAACGUUGGCGGCGCGCCUAACACAUGCAAGUCGCACGAGAAAGGGAGCAAUCCCCGGUACAGUGGCGCACGGGUGAGUAACACGUGGGUAAUCUUCCCUCGAGCGGGGGAUAACCUUCCGAAAGGAGGGCUAAUACCGCAUAAGACCACGGGCUCUACGGAGCUUGGAGUAAAAGCUGGUCUCUGCAUGCAAGCUAGCACUUGAGGAUGAGCCCGCGGCCCAUCAGCUAGUUGGUGGUGUAAAAGACCACCAAGGCGAAGACGGGUAGCUGGUCUGAGAGGAUGAUCAGCCACACUGGAACUGAGACACGGUCCAGACUCCUACGGGAGGCAGCAGUGGGGAAUCUUGCGCAAUGGGCGAAAGCCUGACGCAGCGACGCCGCGUGGGUGAUGAAGGCCUUCGGGUUGUAAAGCCCUGUGGAGAGGGAAGAAUAAGUGCUGGCUAAUAUCCAGCAUGAUGACGGUACCUCUUUAGCAAGCACCGGCUAACUCUGUGCCAGCCGCCGCAGUAAGAC